UGAAUUGUGGUUUGGGGCUUUGUUUCUGAACAUGUGAAACUUACUGUAAGCUGUCUUAGGCUGCAGCCAUGUAAUUAGGUCAGAGCCCCCCCAGCAGUGUGAGCAACCCUGACUCCUGCAAGGGUUAGAGAGGGAAGGACAAUAUAGACUGCAGAGGAUACUUUUAUACUCUCUUAAGGCUAAAACAUACAGGAUCUGUAUUGAACGUGCAAAGUCAGCGUCGCAGCACAUAGGUUCCGAUUUUAAUUAACGCAGCAUCGUAUACAGGACGCGUAUCAGCGCAGUCUCAGAAGCGCAUCGAGCGUGGCUCUGCUAAAGAUACGCACCAAGUCUAUUUUUGCUGCUCUAUGCUUCCAACACACGUCAAUCUACACAGAGAAGAUCGAUCUAGACACCAUAUCAAGCAUGAAAACGUACUUGUCAUCCGGUAAAUUUCAAAAUAGAACACCAUAUGAGAACUCCCAAUUGUGUAUCAGUUCAUGUAGAUGAGAAAUAAUUCCUGGUUAUGGAUUUAUCAGUAACACAGAACUAUCAGAUGGUCAAUCCCUGAUCCAUGUGGACUAGGGCCCGACAGAUAUGGAUUUUUUGGGGCUGAUGCUGAUACCAAUAAUUAGGGGGAGAAAAAAAAAAGAUUACAGAUUAACUUUUAAUUUUUAGAUUUUUUAUAAAGUUUUAACUUUUGAGCCUUUCAAACACUUCUCAGUAAUAUAAUCGCCGAUCGGUGUCUCCACGUCUUAACUCAUGUUACAAAUUUCCGGUCUGGUCUCAUCUGUAGACAUGCAGCUGUCUCAGUUAGAGAAGCAGCUCGAUCACGUAAGGUACUGGCACGGCUAACAAUGUAGCAAGGCUAAUAGUGGGUCACUAACUCCAACUUUAGCUUGCAUAUUACAUGGUGCUUCACCACUGACUCGGCGUGACCGAGACCGGCACAGCGGGGAACAUUGUGAAGUGGGUUGAACUGAAACUUGUUGACUUAUUGUGUAUUUCACAAACUGGUUUAUUUACCGUUGAGGCGGACCACUCUCCUCCGUGCGUCCCUGAGCUGCCUGCUUCAGAUCCGUCACUCUGCUGAGCUGUGAGGUAGUUAGUGGAUGAAGAUUGUCAUGAGGUCGCUGCGCCAUCUACAGAAUAAGUCAGGGAACUUUUCAAAUAGCGGAACAUUUUCGAAAUGAAACCAAAUCUUAAACUCUGCAUUUUAUUUCUGAAAAUAUCAAUGAGUUUUGGCCGAUUAUCGAUUAGUCUCAAACGGGCUAAAAUUGGCCCUAAUGUGGACCCCAACAGAACUUUGAACUGCUAACAGCAGGUAACAGCACAGCAUAAAGGAACAUAGUUUACUUUAUUAAACACGAGUAAACCUGCUAAAAGCCAAAACUGUAAAAUCACGUUGCUUCCUCACAUAUAGUAGAGGUUGAACGGUCACUGAAUUAUAUCCAAAUUAGCAGGAAAUCGACCACAGAAAGGCAAAACAACCUGUUGUGAGCAUGUUGGCUGCAUGGCGCUGCUCUACGGUGCAAAUACUAGAUGCUCACGGAACUUGUCAAUAUGGAUCCUGUAUGUUUUUGGCUUUAGUUAAUUAUUACUUUCCUGGUCAGAGGUGAGGGUGUUUCUUUUUUUUAUCCUUUUCUUUAAUAAUUACCUGUUAUAUCUCUUUUUCUUUACAGGGUGAUAAGGAACCUAACUUGCACAACUACAUUCGUAUUCCCCCCUGGAGGAGUCCCUCGCAGCUCUGUAAUGAGCAUGCACAGAAACUGCUCUCCACCACCAACCAUGGAUGCUUCAGAUACAUCUCUGAAUAUUUAAUAGCAACCCUUUUGAACGCCUAUUUUUAUCAUCUUGGCUCAAUAAUUCAAAGCCUGCUUCUCCUGUUCUCAUCUGCAGAAAGUGUGUGUGCAUGCACGAGUGUUUGUGUCACAUGUAUGUUCGUCUGGAUGUGUUUGUGUUUGUACAUGAGUGAGUCAGAGCUGCACAGAGAGGCAGAUGAGGAGAAAGGAAAAGGGAACACUUGUUGUGGUCUGUGUCAGUCACUGGGUAAUGCGUCUGCCCCCACACUGAGCUAUCAAAGACGCCUUGCAGAGGGAAUAAUUUUGAAGUUUUGUGUGGUUCUGGCCAGCUUGUCACUCUGUCAAACUCUGUGGGGGAGAGAAUUUCUUUCUUCUUUGGGUUCUGUUUGUUUCCAACAACAACAACAACAGAAGAGACGAAAGGGAAAGCAUGAAAGCAAACCGCCAAAUUUGACCACGGCUUGGAGCUCGGGCUUCCACUUCCACAUAAUGUCACUUUUCCCUCAGGCUUCUAUUUUUGAAUAUUAACACUUUAAUCAAGCUCAGACACAGCCAAACGCCCAGCACUUGACCUACAAUCAAAACAGCCAAAGGAGGAAUCAAAGACCUCGAUCUUUUUUUCCCCUCCAAUCAGGAUGAAUGAGGGCUUCGGCUACUAGGAAGUACAGUCUGAUAACGCCUUCCUCACAAUGUCGCCCAGAGCCAUUCAAACUGAUUCAAUUAAGAGCUUUUAUUACAGCCUGGAGUCCACUGAAGAGGAAUGAUGCAAGGACGUUUCGAACUAGGCCUUUGGGGCUUUGUCUUUUGGCGGAGUAAUAACUUCACUUUAGUGGAUCUUGAACUA